rnacentral:rRNA from 1 species
GACGAACCGUGCGAACGUUAUUCGGAAUCACUGGGCUUAAAGCGCGUGUAGGCGGGACGGCACGUCGGUCGCUGAAAGCCCCCGGCUCAACUGGGGAGGGUCACGCGAUACUGUUCGACUCGAAGGCAGGAGAGGGAAGUGGAAUUCCCGGUGUAGUGGUGAAAUGCGUAGAUAUCGGGAGGAACACCAGUGGCGAAGGCGACUACCUGGCCUGUUCUUGACGCUGAGGCGCGAAAGCUAGGGGAGCAAACGGG